rnacentral:rRNA from 1 species
AGCGCACGCAGGCGGUCUGUCAAGUCGGAUGUGAAAUCCCCGGGCUCAACCUGGGAACUGCAUUCGAAACUGGCAGGCUAGAGUCUUGUAGAGGGGGGUAGAAUUCCAGGUGUAGCGGUGAAAUGCGUAGAGAUCUGGAGGAAUACCGGUGGCGAAGGCGGCCCCCUGGACAAAGACUGACGCUCAGGUGCGAAAGCGUGGGGAGCAAACAGGAUUAGAUACCCUGGUAGUCCACGCCGUAAACGAUGUCGAUUUGGAGGUUGUGCCCUUGAGGCGUGGCUUCCGGAGCUAACGCGUUAAAUCGACCGCCUGGGGAGUACGGCCGCAAGGUUAAAACUCAAAUGAAUUGACGGGGGCCCGCACAAGCGGUGGAGCAUGUGGUUUAAUUCGAUGCAACGCGAAGAACCUUACCUGGUCUUGACAUCCACAGAACUUUCCAGAGAUGCAUUGGUGCCUUCGGGAACUCUGAGACAGGUGCUGCAUGGCUGUCGUCAGCUCGUGUCGUGAAAU